CAGAUUAAAUAGUUAUGAGGAGCUAGAGGACUUUUUCAGCAAAGAGAAAGAGGGUCCUAAACCAACAAAGAAAGGCUGGAGAAAAUACUUCUGCCGUGUUCAUGCAACAAAACAACAGCAAAAGAAGAAAAAGUCGGGAUUGCUUAUUCGUCUUCGUCGGUUAUUCAGGCGACCCUAAUGCUAAUAUAAUGAUUAAUUUUCCACGUAAUUAAAGACAAUUAUUUAUAUUUUCGUUUGUCCAGAAGUUACAUUUAUUACUGAUUCAAAUUCUGAAUCAUCAUACAAAUGAUGAAAAAAAU